UGGAAUCAUGACCUUCAAGAACGGACAGUCAAUGAAGUAAUAGAAUGAGGGGUUCGAGUGUAGGCUGAGGUGAGUUGAUGCCCUGGAAAGCUUGUCUGUUUACGGUUCCAUUAAAACCAUGGUGAACUAUUUCCCAGGGAAGAGAAAUCAUCAUAAACCAUACACUGAGAUUCUACUCAUUCAUAACAUGGUAUAGUAAAUGCCCUGCGAAGAAUAACAAACUCUGGAUAGGAUAAGUCAUGUAUAUUACUCUCUUUAUUAGGUGACACAGAUGUACAUUAAACGUUGUGUACAAUAUGACAAUGAGCAAAAUCUAUAAAGGCGCUGUUGUACCAUUGCAGCAACUUUUGUUGACAAUUUGUAAAUGUUAAUUGAAUGUCAAAUAAAGAUUUUGUAUGUGAGUCUUUUUGGAUUCUCUCUCUGGGUCUGCAAACUACAGGUAUAUUUUCCAAGUGUGUGUUUGUGUGUAUUAGAUACUUCAUGAGUUACUGUAGAUGAACUACAAAACCGGAGUCUGACUUUUUUCAUUAAAAAAAACUUUAAAAAUGGACAAACAUGUUUCACACACACACACACACACACACACACACACACACACACACACACACACACACACACACACACACACACACACACACACACACACAGGGUUAUGUACCAAUAUAUCUGCAGUCCAGCGAGAAACAAGAGGCAUCAGUUAUGAUGACAGUUAAAUGACAUAUUGCAAAUGCAAGUUCAGCAUACAGUUCAUGAACAAAAGAAGGGCAAAACAAGAAAAAAUGGUCCUUGUGAGUAUUUCUGGAUUCUGUGGCUUCAGUGUUUGUGUUUUGGACAUUGCAAGCCCUUGCCCGUCCUCACAAAGUUAAGUUUUUUCCCUCGAAGUAGUAAAAGUCUACAUUUCAAACCACAUUUAGUGGUUUUGUGUGGGAGGUAUGUCCAUGGAGUAAAAAUACACUUUAACCAGCGCUGUAGUUACAUAUCACUCCUUUCCUAGAAACUCAAGCCUGUCUUGCACUCCCUCUUUUCUGUAACAUACAUUCACAAAAAUGUCCUAUGAGGAGAUUAACACAUGGGGGUCACUUCAGAACUUCCAAUAAUUUGAUAUCCUUCGAGCUGAGCAUAUGAGGUACAUGAAUGCAAACUAUUUUAAUUGCUGCUUAGUUUACUUGGUAUGCCAAUCAAUUGUUAAGUUUCUAAGCUUUGCUCUUGCAUGGGGGAAUGUACCCCCUUCCGAGUGACCUGUCUUUAACAUACCAUAAGGCAGCAGUGGAAAUCAAUGGGUGCAUAAAUACUUAUCAAGUAGGAUAUCAUCAAUAUUUAUGAGUUUGAUGGUUACCGUCCUCACAGGAAAUAUAGAUACAUUCUAAUAGAUGAGUGUAACGUGUACGCAGGGAGUUGGGAAGCACGUACAGGGAGUGAACUUAAUAAAUAAACCAACAUGGAACAAUGCAAGCAACACAAGUAGCAUAUAUACAUUAAUCAGCUAGCCAGAAACAGAGUCAAUAUCACCUGAGGAAGGAACCAAGGGGAGUGACAGAUAUAGGGGAGGUAAUCAGGAAGGUGAUGGAGUCCAGGUGAGUCUCAUGAGGCGUAGGCACACGUAAAGAUGGUGGCAGGUGUACAUAAUAAUGAGUAAACUGGUGACAUUGAGCGCCGGAGAGUGGGGAGCGGGUGUAAACGUGACAAUUAGUGAGUGAAGUUAAUUCAACCUUAUUCUGCCAGGAAAGUCCUUCACACUAUGUCCUUGUUCAUGCUCUUAAAAGCUGAACGGUGAGAUACAUCACACUCAUAAUAACCCCCUGGAUAACAACAACGCUGAAAUCGGUAAACAAAAUAACAUGUUGUGAGGCUCUUUAGUUCUCAGGUGAUUCACAGCCAGUUUAUAAUGAUUCAAGUUCACUUUAUCAGUACCCGCCUCAAACUGAUCAGUAAUCAAUAUAGUGUCAUACAAAGUAAAUGUAAAUAUACUGGGUAUAUAAAUCCAUCUUUGGAGAGUGAGAGCAUGUAAGGAUUCUCACUGGUAGCUGAGGAUGUGACAUCAGAAGGUGGCAAAGGUAGUAAAAAGUCUGUCUCUGCCAAAUGUGCCAAUGCCAAAGACAUUCAGCUGUCUGCAUUCCCCUUUGCACAGGUCUGUUUUUUUUGUCUGUUUUGGCCCAGAGAACAAUAGAGGUACAUGUAUACUGUAAAGUACAAUAUGUCUUGAUUCAGAGACAAUGUAAAACACUUAGUAGGACUACAGUUAAAUAGAGCACAAUUUAAGAGACAGCGCUUUGAUGCAUAUAAGUGUGUGAGUUGUUGGGUGAAUGUAUUUGUGGGUAUGAGUGCAUGUGCACGUGUAUGUCUGUUUGACGAAUGUGUGUGUAUACAUGUCCGCGUGUGUGUAUCUGUAAAACGUAUGUGUGCUCAUUUGUCAACCAGGCCAUGUGACGUGUCGGACUCGUUUGUCAGCGCUCAGAACCAGGUGUGCCGGUUUCAGCCCGGAUCCUGUUUCAUUCCACAGUAAUGUAGGUAUCCUCUCCUGCCACGCCUCACACCCUUUCAGAAAAACUCCAGAGGCCUUCGUUAUGUCUGUCCACCUGGAAGCUCAAUGGAGGUUUUGCAGAGAGUUAGAAAGUGUCUUUCAGCAGCCCCAGUUUCCGGAGAGCUUCUCUGCGCGACUCAUCCGUCACUCCCCGUCCGGAGAACUGCACAGUGAUCCCCUGGGAGCGGAAGGAUGGCUUGGAGAUGGACUUCGGCCGGGACUCCGGAGAAGGAGGAGAUGCCCCCGCCCUGUUGGCGCUAGGGGGAGUGCUAUAGCGGAAAGGUCUGGAGGCUGGAGAAGGCACUGGGGCUGAAGCUUUGCUGGGGGACCUCACUAGGGUGUGUGUGAGGAUGUCAGGGGUGGUAACGGGGGAGGGGGUGGUGUGAGAUGGGGUGACCAUUCUGGUCUUCCCCCCGUAGCUCUUGACCUCGUAGGACAUGGUUUCUCCUUUGGUUGGGAUGGAGGUGGAGGUUGGUGGAGGCAUCCUUUUGGCUGGGGUGGAGGUUGAGGCUGGGGAAGGCAUCACUCUGGCUGGGGUUGAGGCUGGGGAAGGCAUCACUCUGGCUGGGGUGGAGACUGGGGGAGGCAUCACUCUGGCUGGGGUGGAGGCUGGGGGAGGCACGGCCCUGCUCUCGAUGUCUGGUUGGGUUAGGUCAGCCCUGGUUGUGGUAACAGGAGCAGGUUUCAUUACCUUAGUCUUACCCCCGUAAGGGUUGAAGUCACUGUGAGAGGUCACUGGCUGGGCCUUACUGCCAUGGCCACCGGUGGAGGGAGCUACAGCAGCAGCCUUAGAGGGGUUCACCACGAUGGUCUUCCCGCCAUAGCUGUUAAAGUCCUUGGACGAGACUUCGGGCGACGGAGAAGCAGGCUUGUUGUCAUGGAUACUUGCAUGAGAGGUGUUGGUGUUGACUGUUGCUGGUGGCAAGGUCUUUGCCUGUCUGGCCACAUCUGGUUUACUCACAGGUGUCAGUGUAGGCAUAGGAACGGGUGUAGGGGUGGCAACCGGAAUCGGGGCAGCAGCGGGUUUGGUGUUUGUGCUGCUGUUGUGGGUGAGGUUUCGGGUCAAGCCCAGUUUGGACAGUGCCUCCAUCCGGGACUUAUUUGGAGUGGGAUCCCUGAAAGACACACUGUGGGUGGGAAGGUUUACCUGGGCCUCCUGCAGCCCAUGGAGCUCUUCCGCCUCCACAGGGUGGGAUGUCCCUGAUAGGUUAGCCAGCAUCUGAGACUUCCUGUCCUGGAGGUUCACACUGGCCAGCGAAUGGCUGUGGUGCUGGUUGCUGCCCAUUAUCAUGUUGAUGUUGUUGGGGUAAUGGGUGGGUUUGGCUGAGGUGGUCGGGUCCUGUUUGAUUAGAUAAUCCGGGGAGGUGGGUGGUCUCUCUACGUUCUCUAAAUCGAGGUUCCUACGGCAGUUGGACAGGAGGGAGGAAGAGAGGAUGUUGGUGUUCCCCACACUCCCCUGGUGCUCUGCAAUCUUCUGGGCGAUGCGGACGGGGGUGGGGACGGAGCCUACAGGCUGGUACAGGGCGUGGCCAUAGGGGGCACUGUCCUUGCCAGGGGGCGGCAGGUUGUACUCUGUAGGGAAGUUUUCCAUCACCUCACGCCUCGGCUUGUUCUCAAAAUGCCUCUCAGGGUUGUUCAUUACCAUAUUCUGGGUGAAAUCU
rnacentral:lncRNA from 1 species